rnacentral:rRNA from 1 species
UACGGAGGGUGCAAGCGUUAUCCGGAUUCACUGGGUUUAAAGGGUGCGUAGGCGGGCAGGUAAGUCCGUGGUGAAAUCUCUGAGCUUAACUCAGAAACUGCCAUGGAUACUAUUUGUCUUGAAUAUUGUGGAGGUAAGCGGAAUAUGUCAUGUAGCGGUGAAAUGCUUAGAUAUGACAUAGAACACCAAUUGCGAAGGCAGCUUACUACACAGUUAUUGACGCUGAGGCACGAAAGUGCGGGGAUCAAACAGG